rnacentral:rRNA from 1 species
CCUACGGGGGGCAGCAGUGGGGAAUAUUGCACAAUGGGGGAAACCCUGAUGCAGCAACGCCGCGUGAGCGAAGAAGGCCUUCGGGUCGUAAAGCUCUGUCCUAAGGGAAGAAGCAUGACGGUACCUUCGGAGGAAGCCCCGACUAACUACGUGCCAGCAGCCGCGGUAAUACGUAGGGGGCGAGCGUUAUCCGGAAUCACUGGGCGUAAAGGGUGCGUAGGCGGCCAAUUAAGCCAGGGGUGAGAGGCGACGGCUCAACCGUAGUAAACCCGUGGAACUGAAUGGCUUGAGUGCAGGAGAGGAGAGUGAAAUGCCUAGUGUAGCGGUGAAAUGCGUAGAGAUUGGGAGGAACACCAGAUGCGAAGGCGAGUCUGUGGACUAUAGCUGACGCUGAGGAACGAAAGCGUGGUUAGCAAACAGGAUUAGGUACCCUGGUAGUC